AACAAGUGAAACUGCGAGCUACUGCUCACUGAUGAUACCCCCGCCGCAAGUGGAUAAUAUUAAUAGUGUAAAAAUAUGCAAGUGUUCGGUAAACAGGAAGUUGUCGAGUGAUGAAUCUGAAAACGCAUCACACGGUAUAGGGAUAAUAUUAAUAGUGUAAAAAUAUGCAAGUGUUCGGUAAACAGGAAGUUGUCGAGUGAUGAAUCUGAAAACGCAUCACACGGUAUAGCUGACUUAUAAAAAUCCUGAAACCAAAUUUCAGAAAUCCUUGUAUUGUAGUUCCUGAGAAAAAUGUGACGAAAAUUUUUAACUUGGUUAUCAUGUGUAAAAUCAUACAAGUGUUCGGUAAACAGGAAGUUGUCGAGUGAUGAAUCUGAAAACGCAUCACACGGUAUAGCUGACUUAUAUAAAUCCUGAAACCAAAUUUCAGAAAUCCUUGUAUUGUAGUUCCUGAGAAAAAUGUGACGAAAAUUUUCAACUUGGCUAUCAUGUGUAAAAUCAUACAAGUGUUCGGUAAACAGGAAGUUGUCAAGUGAUGAAUCUGAAAACGCAUCACACGGUAUAGCUGACUGAUAUAAAUCCUGAAACCAAAUUUCAGAAAUCCUUGUAUUGUAGUUCCUGAGAUAAAAUCAUACAAGUGUUCG
rnacentral:lncRNA from 1 species